rnacentral:rRNA from 1 species
UACGGGGGGGGCAAGCGUUGUUCGGAAUUACUGGGCGUAAAGGGCUCGUAGGCGGCCAACUAAGUCGGAUGUGAAAUCCCCAGGCUUAACCUGGGAACUGCAUCCGAUACUGGAUGGCUUGAAUCCGGGAGAGGGAUGCAGAAUUCCAGGUGUAGCGGUGAAAUGCGUAGAUAUCUGGAGGAACACCGGUGGCGAAGGCGGCAUCCUGGACCGACACUGACGCUGAGGCGCGAAAGCGUGGGGAGCAAACAGG